rnacentral:tRNA from 1 species
GCCCGGGUGGUGGAAUGGUAUACACGGCGGACUUAAAAUCCGCUGCUCUUAACAAGCUUGUGGGUUCGAGUCCCACCCCGGGUA